GUGGGCAACUUCCUACUCGCGCUGAACGAAGCCAAAUACGUGUGAACCGUGUCCACGCUCCGGACAAAUACAAGGUGUUGUAAACACUAAUUUUGGAACCUGUUUAGGUGGAUUGACAAACAUUUUGUCGGCGUCGCGGAAGUACACAGACAACCGACUUGCGGCCGUUUUUUAUGAAUAGACCUACCGAAGUACAGCAGCAGGAGGACAUGUACGGCAUGGCAGAAAUGCCCGAUCUCAUACCACCGGCAGGUGCAUUACAACCCAGUCCAGUAAUCCCGUACGACCACGGACAGGCAGGGAGGAACAGACCAGACCUCCUGUCCGCCCCACGAAGAAUGCAGCGAGCCCCCAAACUCGGACAGAUCGGGCGGUCUACGAGAGUGGUUAUUGAUGAUGAGGACUUGGAUGAUAUUAUAAACAAUAACAGAGGCUUCCCGGUUUCUCAGAGAGUAUCACCUGUUGCCUGAUGCAUGGUUGACUGUGCCAAAGAGGCCAACACACCAAAGCAGGCCUACAGAAUUGAACUAAAAUCUCCCUCUCACACGUUCUCACUUGACAUCACCUUUCACUGUACAGCUUUUAAAGCUUUCACCAUUUCAAGGUCAAACAAGAGAACUAUGGACUUUGCUUCCUGUUCACUUUAUGCUUGCUCAUCACUUAACUGAUGUCGUGCUUCUGUAGCACUGAAUGGUCCUGUCUGGUUUUCUCAGUUUUUUGAUGUUUCUUUCUUGAUAUGAAGAUCUUGAUGAUCUUUAAUGCAACAGGGCUAUAUUUAUUAAAUUUGCACUUUACUUCAGAAUAAGAA
ensembl:lncRNA